AUGUCCUUCCCUCAGUCUUUUUCAUUGUAAGUGGUGUGAAAUGGGUACUGUGAGAUUGUGUUCACGACCACGAGGUGGCAGUGGUCCCUUCCUUUUAUUCCAUCAAUGCCUUAAACAUCAGAAGCAUGAAAGUUACUAGAGGAUUUGCUUUUGAUUGGCUGAGCAGCCAACAGAAAGCCUCUCUUGUGCACCAGAGAACAAGAACUAAGACACAGAAACAGCUCCUCAGAGGAGAGAAGGUUUGAAAUCACUACAAAUCGUAUGAGAUAUCAAGAUGGAGAACAUGCUGGAAUGUGCCUUCAUAGUCUUGUGGCUUCAGUUUGGCUGGUUGAGUGCAGAAGACCAGGUGGAGCAGAGUCCUCAGACCCUGAGACUCCAGGAGGGAGACAGUCUCAGCCUCGGCUGCAGUUACAGGGUCAGCUCUUUUAGAGGGCUGCAGUGGUACAGGCAGGAUCCUGGGAAAGGCCCUGAACUGCUCUUCCUCCUGUAUUCAGUUGGGGAACCAAAGCAGAAAGAAAGACUAAAAGCCACGCUGUCAAAGAUGGGAAGUUCUCUGCACAUCACAGACUGCAAACCUGAAGACUCAGCCACUUACCUCUGCGCUGUGGAGACACAGUGCUCCCAGGCACCUGCAAGCCUGCGCCAAAACCCUGCAGCUGGGGCCCUGGAUUAAGGGCAUCUCUGUUGUUUAUCCUCCUCAAAGAAUUUUUUUGCUUAGCACCCAGGACCUCUUUCCAAAUGGUCCAAUGGAGAAUAAAGUCUUCUGACACGGCCGGUUGCCACAGAUUACUGUUCAUUCUGUCCAGGGAUCCUAGACAGUGCCCUUUGCCUCUACAUGGGUCA